rnacentral:rRNA from 1 species
CAGUCGCCACGGUAAUACGUAGGGUGCGAGCGUUAAUCGGAAUUACUGUGCGUAAAGCGUGCGCAGGCGGUUGUGUAAGACAGGCGUGAAAUCCCCGGGCUCAACCUGGGAAUGGCGCUUGUGACUGCUAAGCUAGAGUGCGGCAGAGGGGGAUGGAAUUCCGCGUGUAGCAGUGAAAUGCGUAGAUAUGCGGAGGAACACCGAUGGCGAAGGCAAUCCCCUGGGCCUGCACUGACGCUCAUGCACGAAAGCGUGGGGAGCAAACAGGAUUAGAUACCCCCGUAGUCCCUGUCUCUUAUAC